UUGACACUGAACAUUGAGCCUUGAUGUGUAGGAUAGGUGGGAGGCUUUGAAGUGUGGACGCCAGUCUGCAUGGAGCCGACCUUGAAAUACCACCCUUUAAUGUUUGAUGUUCUAACGUUGGCCCCUGAUCGGGGUUGCGGACAGUGUCUGGUGGGUAGUUUGACUGGGGCGGUCUCCUCCUAAAGAGUAACGGAGGAGCACGAAGGUUGGCUAAUCCUGGUCGGACAUCAGGAGGUUAGUGCAAUGGCAUAAGCCAGCUUGACUGCGAGCGUGACGGCGCGAGCAGGUGCGAAAGCAGGUCAUAGUGAUCCGGUGGUUCUGAAUGGAAGGGCCAUCGCUCAACGGAUAAAAGGUACUCCGGGGAUAACAGGCUGAUACCGCCCAAGAGUUCAUAUCGACGGCGGUGUUUGGCACCUCGAUGUCGGCUCAUCACAUCCUGGGGCUGAAGUAGGUCCCAAGGGUAUGGCUGUUCGCCAUUUAAAGUGGUACGCGAGCUGGGUUUAGAACGUCGUGAGACAGUUCGGUCCCUAUCUGCCGUGGGCGCUGGAGAACUGAGGGGGGCUGCUCCUAGUACGAGAGGACCGGAGUGGACGCAUCACUGGUGUUCGGGUUGUCAUGCCAAUGGCACUGCCCGGUAGCUAAAUGCGGAAGAGAUAAGUGCUGAAAGCAUCUAAGCACGAAACUUGCCCCGAGAUGAGUUCUCCCUGACUCCCUGAGAGUCCUGAAGGAACGUUGAAGACGACGACGUUGAUAGGCCGGGUGUGUAAGCGCAGCGAUGCGUUGAGCUAACCGGUACUAAUGAACCGUGAGGCUUAACCUU
rnacentral:rRNA from 1 species